AUCAUUCUUCAGGGCAGGGUGUAAUUCCCGACCGGCGGUGAUAGUCCGCGAACCUCAGUGAGGUUGAUUCAGUGUGAUCCUGAAACCGACAGUAAUAGUCUGGAUGGAAGAAGAAUAAU
rfam:Lactobacillus pobuzihii strain NBRC 103219 NODE_18, whole genome shotgun sequence.